rnacentral:rRNA from 1 species
UACGGUAGGGUGCAAGCGUUAUCCGGAAUUAUUGGGCGUAAAGAGCUCGGUAGGCGGUUUGUCGCGUCUGACUGUGAAAACCGGAGGCUCAACCUCCGGCCUGCAGUGGGUACGGGCAAACUAGAGUGCGGUAGGGGAGAUUGGAAUUCCUGGUGUAGGCGGUGGAAUGCGCAGAUAUCAGGAGGAACACCGAUGGCGAAGGCAGAUCUCUGGGCCGUAACUGACGCUGAGGAGCGAAAGCGUGGGAGCGAACAGG